UUUAUUGAUUCUUAUGUUCUUCUUAGUUCCAUACAUAUAGAUCCUCCUAGAUCUCUACGUAAUGUAAAUCAUUUAUAUGUUAUCCCUUCACCUCUUGUUACCUGGAAGCAUAGGUCUAUAAUUCCUAGGAUCUCAGAUUUUGCAAAUAAUUGUGCUCAGUGGAUUCAAUUUUUUGGCCCGAGUAUUUCUAAUUUUAAGUCAUUAGUGAAAGAACACAGGUUUUUGUUAGUUUUUAAACAUAUUCUUUCUAGCCAAUUUUGUUGCAUGUAUUGUUGCCUUCGUUAUUAUUUCUGUGUGCUUGGGACUCGUCCUGUUGAAAUUUGAAAUAAAAUAAAAGAAAAUGAAAAUCGAUGGUUAAAGUCGAAAAAUGCUUUUCUCAGAUUGCAACAGUGUAAAUCUCUGCUUAUGUUUUACUUUUUGGAAGGUAAUUAACCAGCAGUUUCUGAUGAAAUUUUCUAUGCAUUUUCCUCAUCCGUUCCUAAAAUAAUCACACAGAAUGGCAAAAAAAAAAACAUUUUUAAUAAGCUUUCUACCAGGAAUAUAAAACAUAAUAAUCAAAGAUUAGAGGGCAUUGCAACUGACAUAGGACACUGUUUUUUUCCUAUGGAUAAACACUCUCUUUCAUAAAACAUCUUGGCAAAAUCAAUUAGAAGUGUCACAGAAUUCUGGUUUGAUAGUCGAGUCUUGCAGUUCAGCAAUGAGAUCAGUCCAAAUUCCGUCCAUUUUCAGUGUCAUAUUCCUUGGUUCAAACUUAAAAGUAGCAAUAUCGUUGCAUUAGCACAGUGGAUGACACUAUUUCCCAUUGUCAAAAGUCCAUAUCACUAUCACUAUACUGCCGUGCUACCCAAGCAGCAUUUUUCAACGGAAAAAUCGCGAUUUGUUGCGAUUUUGUCGGCGAUAAAAUCGCUAUGAUCAUCAACAUCUGAGCGAUUAUCCUCGAUCUUGUUGCAAUAAUACAGCGAUUUUAUCGCCCGGCAAUUUAUCGCGAUAUUAUCGCAACAAAAAUCGCGUUAUAGGGCGAUUUAAUCUCGAAUUUAUUGAUGAAAAUUGAUCGCAAUUUUAUUGAACAAAAAUU
rnacentral:lncRNA from 1 species